UGAAGGCUCUCCCCAGGUUUGUAAUCAGAUGUGCACAAUAAAUGUUAAUGAUGGGGGUGCUAUGGGGGGUCGGCUAAGCAAUGCAAAGGUUUGUUUGCUUGUAGGGGGCGAGGAGGUGAGAGGUCUAGAAACUCAGCAGAGCCACCCCAAAGGAGGAGACAUGAACCUCAGUGCUGCUUCCAGGAGCUUCAGCUCAGUUCAAACCCACACCAAGAGCUUGGUCCAUCUCUUCAAAGCUUUUCAGAAAAGAGCAGGGAAAAGAAAAGUGAUUGAAUCAGUCCUAUGGCAGGUAGCUGAGAACUAACCUGCACCAUGAAAUUGAAUCCCUCUUCAGUUUUCUUCCUUUGCCAUGUGGGCUCCUCAGUAGUUACGAGUAAUCCAAGGCUUUCCAUCUGUUGCUCUGGGUUCUGUGUGUCCCUUUUCUUGUAGUUGUCAUUGUUCUGCACUCCAGCACAAAUGACAGUGCUGCUCUGCUGUGGAGGUUCUGCAACUUUUCUAGGUAGCCUGGAAAGACUGGGGCUCCCUACCUUCUGCCCUGUCAUCCUUACUGCAAUUAGCUGUCCAGGUGGGAAUAUCUUACCUGUAGCAGUCUUCAGGGGUUGGAAAGCCUCUUGUUAGCCUUCCUCCCCAUGGGAAGGCAUGGAGGUGGCUGUCAGGUGGGACCAUGCCACCUGCUGUCUUCCAGACCUCAGGCUGACCUGUACUGAGUAUCUCCUUCUGGGGAAAAUCUUCUGGAAGGUGGCAAGUGAAUCCCUCUGAGAUGCAGCUCCUGCAUCUUCUGAGAUGCUCUGCAGCAUGAUUCUGUCCUCCCCUGCUCCCUUAAGAGGGGGGCACAGAUGCCAGCAAACAUGCAUGUUUUCCCCCUCUUUGCUUGGGGGGAGAGGUUGGUAUCUCCUCAAAGCCCCUGCGGGGGGGGGGAUGCUUUGUGUAAACCCAGCCCCAUGGAGGGCUUCACCUGCAGCCUGGCAGCUCCCUGUGCUUCUGCACAGUCCUGGGCCUUGCUGGGGCUGAUGGCUCUGCCUCCAGCUGUGCUCUAUUAAAUGCUUAUUGGAGACAGAUUGGCACUUCUAUGGCUUGAGGCAUUGGUGACCACAGAAAAAUGUCCUUUCAAUCCCAUUUGUAGUUAUCUUUUAUGCUGAAAGAAAAGUAAGUAAAUUCUCGGUAGUGCAUUAACCUUUGCCCUGUUAAUAUGCAUCUACUCAGCUGUUGCUGAAUCUCAGAAAACAAUGCUAUUGCACUGCACAAUUAAGUGUCUUCUGGCUUUACAGCUGAGUCUCUUGCUUGUUUUAUGUUCCACUUAUUUUCUCUAGCAGAUAUGUUGUCACUUUUAAAAAUCUCAGUAGUUAACAGUGGGGGAAAAAGAUGAAGAUGUUCGGAGGAGCGAUGCUAGGAAUACUUCUAUGGACCAUGCUGUUUGCUGUCUUGUGUUUGACAUCCACUGUGAAUAACUGUGGAAAUUCUUCUGCACCCAUGGCAGUAAAUACUGGUAUCCACUUUCUUCCACAGAGAAGUAUUUCUGCACUUAUUCCAGAAAUGACUCUUCCUUUGAAAACAAUUAUAUUAAAUCGUUGAGAUUUCCACCGCUGCUGUUGUCAGGAUCACAUUCAAGGACAGGAUGUGAUUAUUUCUUCUUUUUAGCAGUUUAUAGAUACAGAAUCAUUUGGAUUCAACCUGUUGUAAAAAUUGUGUUAACUGCUCUGUGGCACAUUUGAUAACAAAUAAGAUGGCUCAGUGAAACCAAACAAUCUUCAGCAGAUCUAGUUCACUUGCAGCCACUCAAUCCUUCUGUAGUUGUUCCCAGUUCCCUGCUUUAUCCACAAGUACUGCAGUGGCAAGUGUUGUUUUAUGGGCUCAGCAUGAGAAGCCUGCCCUGUCUCUCCACUGCGAUGCUUGGGCAUCCUUUCCUGAAGGCAGUCUUUUAUUUCUAGUCCAGUGCUGUGGCUGAGACCAUCCCCAGUGUGUGGGGAUGCUACAGGUGCUGCUCCUGCUCUGUGGGCUGGAGGGGCCAGGUUGGCUUCAUCUGCUUCAUCAAAGCCCUUUGGCAGUGGAUCACUUGCUUCCCGUGUCUUGAGACACUCAUCUAAAACAUCGUGUGGGCAGGGAAUGCGGCACCCACCUCCCUGAGGGCGGGGAGUAGGUGGGUAGGCUGGUUGGAAACAACGUGCUAGGCUUCAUGGUGUUAUUAUCAUGCUAUUAUUCAUGGUAUUAUUAUUGAAGGGAAAUGUAAGAAGGCUGGGCAAGCAGAACACUUUGAAACAGCCAAACACCUGGUCUCCAGCAGCCUCACCACCUCUGUAACUGGGAGAUGUCAGUUUUUACCCAGCCUGUUCAAAGCAGGGCCAGUCGAUAGGGUUGCUCUGGGACAUGCAGCCUCUGUCUCCACUGGCUGCUGUUCUGGGUGGGUGCAGGCUGGUGAGGAAUCUCCUGUGGAAGGACAUGAUGAAGUGGGCUUGCAUUCAUUUAAUUCACAAAUGCUGCUGAGUUGGAGGAGAUGCUUGUUGUGGGCAAGUGUUUAACAAAUGACAGGCACUGUUCUGGCUGGUGUUAAUCUGCCCCCUGUGUUGUGCCUAUCUGUUUUGCCUUUCACUUAAUGUAGCUGAUAAAAAUCGGGUUGUCGUGUUUUGUUUUGAGUUCUGGUUUGCAUUGCAGUUCUCCAUCUUGCUUCUGUCAGUGGCUCCCUGCAGAAUCUCAGCUGUAAGCUUUCCCUGCCUGCUUCUAGGAGCUAGCCCACUGGGUCUCAUGCUUCCAAAAACUAUGUGCAGGUAGUGAUAUGGUAUGUGCAAUGAUCCUUUGAUGGAAAGUUUAAGCCUUUGGCCAGGUUUUAACUUACAUGCAGAAUAUCUUCUGCACAACAUUUCUCUGCUUUGAAGAUCAGAGUAGAUGAAAGAAGUGAAGAUUGUCAUUAGGGAAUUGUUUGGAUUAGGGAAUUAUUUGGUUUUCUGAGGGAUGGGUGCUGGGUGGACAAGGGGGUGUCUAUAGCUCUUCAUUUGGGUGCUUGUCCCAGCCAUACACUACCCACCUCUACUGAGUACAAAGCACAGAAAUAAGUGCUUUUCUUGAGACAGCAUGAGCUUUGGUUCUUCCCUGAUGGUUUUAUGAGGAUGCAGGAGAAGAUGGAAAGCCAAAUCUAAGCAGAGAGCAGAAAGCGAGGGGAGCUGGGUGGCAGCAGCAUGGGUGCUGUGCCCAGAACCCACAAGGCCUGGAAGGUGCUGGGUGUCCCUGCUGUGCUGCAUGGCUUCAUCCUGCCAAAGUCAGCCAGAGCUGGGUGUGCUCUGACCAGGGCUGAUUCUGAAGAGAAGUGCUUGCCAGCUGGAAGAGCUGAGGUCUAGAAAGCAGAGCGAGCAGCUCAUCGGAGUCAAGACCAUCUUCUAAAUGUUAACGGGCACAUUGCAGGAGAUGCUCAGCAGACACAAAAGGUCACUACUGCCCAGGCUUUCAGUAAAACAAAGGCCAGCUAUUUUUAACCUAAUUUCAAGUGGGAAGCCUAAAGCCAUAAGCUGGCCUGAUUGCCGAAAGCCUGGACUCGCCUGAUAAUCAGAGCUGUAUGCGUAAUGUGGGACUGUGACCACAUACAUGUUCACCAGCUGCAUCCAAAAAUCCCUUCUGAACUCUGCUAGUGCAGUGAUGGUUGCAGGCAUGGCCUGACCCUGGAGAGUCCUGCACUAAAAAGCAGUUCCUGAGUUACUGUAGGGGACAGGGAGUUUGGGAACUGAAGGUGGGAGCUACAGGCGUAACUUGCAUUACUUAAUGCCCCCAUCUUCAGCUGCCCACUGCAAAUGAGUGAAAAAGCAAAAGAUUGUAUUGAUUGCCAGGCAAAUGGGACGUGCCAGAAAGUAUCUUGUUUUCUGUUUGGGUAAGCCAGGACUCCUUGGAUGUGUCCUAUAUAGAAAACAGCUUUGAAUCCAAAGCUGUCUUUAAAAAAUAUAUUUAACAUGAUCUCUAGGGAUCUAUUUUAAUGUACCUGCUGGCUGGAGUGUAAGCAUUGCCGGGAGAAAGUCUGCACCUGUUUCAUAUGGCUUCCUUCACCCUGGAGUCUGAGCCAAGAGAAGCCAUGUUCUGGUCCUGGAGCAUAUCCUAAUGUUCUUUUCACUGCUGCUGUAGAAAGUGGGACUGCAGGUAUUGGUCUCUUAACACUUGUUUCUGGUGUAGAAGAAGAGUUGCUAUGACUUCUUGGUGGACUUCAUAAGCUCGGCAGUCCCUGAACUGAGCUGCACCAGGCUUCACGCAAGUUCAGCAUGCUGCCUCUCUGGUGUGACAAAGCUGUGUCAAGGAACGGGAGAAAAGGGCAAGUUUGGGCCAACUGGCCUUAUUUCUCUUGGAAUGGGAUUUGUAGCAGGGCUUUUCUCAAACUUAUGAAGCGUAUGUGGAAUACUUUUGACUUCUCAUCAGUCUGCCAGUGAAGGCCUAAUGCCCUUUUCCAUAGCAGUGACAGGCAUGGACUCUCAGCUGCUCUGCUGUGCAGUGAUGAAACUAGAUCACCUUCUGAUUACAGCACUCAGACCAGGAAUGGGAGGACUUGUGAGUAGAGGAGCCACUUGUUUCAUCAAUGGUCACUGAGGGCUUGGUAAAGCAGGUGGCUUUGCUCCUGGAACACCUGAGCACAUUGUUUCCCUUGGCAAACAAAGCUGAUCUGUGCCAUUGGGUGGCUGCCAAGCACAGCAUCAGGUCCCUGCCUGCAGCAAUGUUGGAGAGGCUUUGUGUCCAAAUUAAUAAAUGCAACACAGCCUGGGCCUGUUCUUGGCUGCCUUCUGAUGAGCUCUGGUGGGACACAGUCCUCAGCCUGACAGCUCCUCCCGCAGCCUGCGGCAGUUAGCAUUGCUGGCUGGUCCUGUGGUUCCCCUUUCUCUGCUGCUCAUCUCUCUCCAUCUGCCUAUGGGCCAGUGCAGGUGAUGCUGUGGCUCAGCUCCUGAGCUAUGUGCUGUGUUUUGGGGGAAGAUGCUGCUGUGGUGGCGAUUUUCACUGAGCAGGCACAUAGCAUGCACGGCCACUGCUACUUCUAGAGGCUAUGGUACUGCCAGACUCUUUGUUGUGCUCAAGAAGCACAAGCACAGUUUUCUGCAGCUCCAUAAGAGCUUUGGAGCUGUAUGGCUCUUAAAAAAAAAAAAAAAAAAAGCCCAGCUACCUCACUGGUAUGUGCUGCCCCUCUGGAUCUGAGGGGUGCCCCAGACCUCUUGAACAUGCCUGGUGCUGCACUCACCAACACUCGGCAUUAGUGCUUCAGGCCUCUGAGGAGACCAGCAUGUCCUCAGGCUGUCAGAGUGCACUGAUAACACAAAUGUAUAUCUUUACCUUAUUUGUAGGGCUCCUGUCCCCAAACUAUGAGGUGCUGCAGAGGUCACUGAGCUCAUGCUUGCCCAGAAAUUCCCAUUGAAAACCACUGAUAUGUCAGGAAUGUCAGUGCAGGGCUAGCUUUGGGGGAUCCCAAAGUGCAUCACAAGUAUGUUGUUGCCCUCAUUCUUCUUUCCAGGCACAGAUUUCUUUAAGUGCUUUGCUACAAGUUGUAUGGGACGUCUCUCCUUAAAGCAAACAACAGGAGCUAUAUCUCAAGGGGUGCAGAUCAGCCUAACCCCAGCAACAGCAGUGGAGCUGCUUUUUUCCCCCAAGCCUGCAAGAAGUGACAGAUCAAACACUUCUUCCUCCAGAUUUGCUAGGACCAAGACCUGUGUAUGGCUGUACCCUUGAGUCACAAACUUUCUUGUUUUUUCCCCCUGCCCAUCAUAAAGCACUACACCAGGUGUUUGUACUUAACAUCCCUCUGCUCUUCAGCAGAACCAUCUUGCAAAACAAAACCAAGCUGCA